UAGUGCCACUAGCCACAUAUGCAAGGUGUUCUUACAUUUUCAAGGAGAACAAUUAUGAGCAAGAUGAAGAUUAUUUUAGAUUUCCAAGGACCAACCCCACUUGGCAAAAGGAUUCCUUUCAAGAGCACUCUUUUAGAUUUUUGUUCCCCAUGCCCUGCUCUAGUGUGCAAUCCCUCUUCACCUAUAAAACUCACUGACUUUGGACAAAUUUUUAAUCAUUUUAGUUAGCAUAAUGAUGAGGUUUCAGAUCUUGUUGUUGCUUGUAAGAAAUCUGGAAAUUUUUGGAAGGGGCUAGAAGCUUGGUCAAAAAUCACAAGCAAUUUCCCCUUCACAUUUUCAGUUGUGCUGCCACCGCUUUCCACUACUCAUAUGUGAUUCUUUUUAUUUGAAUUUCAAUUAUUUCUAGUCAGUUAUAUCUAGGGGAAGAAAGCCUCAUUUACUAGUUGCAUUGGUGGCAAAUCAAACAAAAUCCAUAAAAGCCUAUGUCGAGCCAUGCUAGCAGCCACAUUCUUGCCCAUUAAUUUUGUGCACAUUGCAGCCCAUAUCACCAAGAAGAUUAGGGGCUUUCGGUUAGUGUAUAAUCAUGAUUAACUAUUGUAAUUGUUGAUAUUAGAUCUUGCUUACUCUCACAAGAAAGAUGGACAAGAUUUGAGAAUUGGAAGGCAAGGAGUUGACCAAAAUCAUUCCUCUCAAAUUCCAGCAUUUUCUGCUGCCCACCUUCUCCUAGUGGCACUCAAGCAUUCAAAACUUAGUAAUAGAGCAUUUAUUAAGAGUCACUAAUGAAACUUGUGGGAAGUUGUAUAAUACUUAUGAGGAGUCAUUAAUGAAGGUCGUGGGAAAUUGCAUUGCAUUUAAGAGCUAUUAGUGGAGUCAUGGGAAACUACAUUACAUUUAUGAGCCACUUAGGGAAGCACCAAGCAUGCUCUUGCCACCCACUUCCACCAAUGUUCAAGAGUAUCAAAGCGCAUGUCUCGGAUUAGCAUUAGAUAAGAGUAUACGGUUCGUUCUAAUGGUAAUUCGGUUUAUUAGACUUGAUAUCCUGAUGAAGGGUUCUUGAGCAUGAUUAUUUUUAGAAAAAUUAGAUACUUUGAUGUUCUAAGAAUCAGAAAUACAAAGGAAGCAAGGCAUAUUAGAUCAAGUCCCGAUUUUGAAGUUUGCUGUUCAAACAUAUGUUGGAUGAUGUUUUCUCUUAGGUUUGGUCAUAAGUUGCGUGAAUUGUAAAGAUGAACUCAUUUUUGGAGUUCUAUUCUAGAGUUAGAUCAAGUCCUUAAUUUCUAGCAAGGUGAUUUUGAGUGUGACAAGUGUAUUUAGUGAAUGAUUGAGAUCAAAGGUUUCUAAUGUGGCAUUUUCUUUGGUCUAAUGUGUGAGGAAACAUAUUUUGAAGUUGGACAUGGGUCUAUAAUGGGGACUACAUGAAGUUUGUUAAGCUUGGUGAAAUUUGGAGGCAGAAUGCAAUAUUCUCCUCUAGGACUUAAGGUGCAAUUUCUAAGAGCUAAGGGGUUAAAGUGAAACUUUCUUUAGGCUUUAGAACUUUAAAAUUUUGGAAUCCCUUUUGUUUCAAUUGAGGAUAGAGAAGUCCAUUAUUUCAGCCCAUGGAGAUUAUAUAAUAAUUAGAUUUUCCUAAUUUUGAAAAGGUAAUAAUAAUUUCAGAUUUUAAAGCUAUUUAAGCCCGCAAGUUUGUGAAAUAAUUUCAAAUUUUAUCAUUUAUCAAUAUUUUUCAGAUUUUUUUUUCUCUGUGUUUCAUCUCUUCUUAAUCUCAGUUCAUAGUUUUUGUUGAUUCACUAGCCAUCAAGAUCAUUCUUAUUCUGCCCAGCGUCAGUUCAUUUCAGAGCUUUAAUGUUUUCUAGGGGUGAUUUAUCAUUAGUUUUCAUGGCUAGUGAUAGAUCGAGGCCGUGGUCGGCUUGGGCAAGUUCUGAAUGAGGAAGCCUCUCGCCAUGAUUGUAUCCUACAAGACAUGAUGCUUGUAGAUUUACAAACAUAGAUAAUAGAAUUAACCCAGCAUCUAAAGGUGCAAAACUUGGAGGAUCAUAUGGAUAGCUAUGAUUAUGACUUCAAUUUCAAUACCAUGUAUCACAAUCAUGUCUAUUUUGGUAGCAUCAUGUUCAAGAGGAACAACAUGAAGACCUAGGCUUAAAUUAAUUUACUGAAAUUUCCCAAUAUCUUCAAGUUGAAGGUUUCAUUGAUUUGUUGCAUGAUGUUUAAUGGAUUUACUACUAUGAGGAAAAUGACUUUGAAGAGGAUUUGGAAGAAUAUGGGAUAUCCCGGAGAAAUGUCAAUAUAUUCGGCAAGGCUAUAUCACGAGGCAGUGGUUAUGGACAGAUAAGGCUGCCACGAUGGUCCAUCAAUGGUUUGAUUAGAUCCAUAUUGGUGAAGGGUCUUCAGGGUUUUUUGUGUUGAAGUCAUAUUAGGAAAACUUCAUGCAAAACUAUGGCCAAAAUGCAAGCCAACUUAUUCAAUUGCUUUAAAAAGGAUGGAAGAAGCAAGCUGAUGUAGGAGCUUUUAUGCAGUUCAAAAAGGCCAUGAAAACGAGCCAAGUUUUGCUCAAUUCAAUUUCAUAAAAGCCCUUUGUUAUGGGUUAUGUCGCCUCAAUGAAUUUUGCUGAGAUCCGCAUUAUGGGCCUAUUUAGUUUUGGGCAUAGCCUUGUUAUUUUUUGGCAUGGGUUGGCUACCCGGCCUCCCCCUAGCUUCCAAAUGUACAUGAAUCUCCCAAUCUAAUGGUCAUCUUGUCGUUGCAAAUUUGGCACAGCCGCACAUGUGUUUGCUGUGAAACUUGAGUCCUCUCUGUUUUAUUGUCAAAAUGCCAUAUCAAACAGGGGACAUAUUUAUUCAA